GUAAUGAAAAAAAUAAAGACCAAAUUGUGACAAGUGACAAACUCCGGCGACAAGUUUGGCAAUUUUCCCUAUUAAGUUUAUCAAACCAAAUUACUUGCCAUAAAAAUACAAAUUUUCAUGCAUAUACAUAUUUUACUAGAAUUCAACUCUACCAGUAGCCAACAAAAUCUAACUGAGCAAUCAGUAUUGUUUCAUUUCCCAUUACUAGUCAUAUAUAUAUUUUAUGAGAGUCAACCCAACCAAAUUAUUCUUUCCCUAAGCUCUAUCGAUCAAUUAGAAAGGCAACAACAGUAUUGAUUUUCAUUUUCCAUUAUCAACCACCAAAUAGAAUUCAUUGUCAUUGGUAUAUGAGACCCUAAAUAUUAAAAAGGAGAGAAAUUUCAAAUGGAUAGUGUCACAAUCAUGACGCAGGAGCAAAGCUCCACAAAAAUGAGAAUUUGCAAGGAACACAAAAAGGAGUCGUCGCUAAUCCAUUUAGGAUGGGAUUAGACACCCAAAACAUGCAUUGGUCUAAUAAAGAGAAACUAAAUCUAAAAAAUGAAACCAAAUGGAAUAAUACAAAAAAUACCUAACAAUAAAUGAUUUGCUAAGACCAAAGCAACCAAGACAACUGAAAAUCUGGACAGCAAGCAGACCCUCUAGUUUCAGACAUCUAAACUGAACAAAUUAGUGCUGAAAUCAUGAGCUCCUAAAUGCUCCAAAAAUUAACCAUCCUAGGCUAUACAGUAAAAAACAUUAAUAUCUCAAAGCAAGGAAUUCAGAUGAUAAAGCAUUACCAGGUAGCCCUUCAAAUAUCAAAACAACGGUCACUUCCAGACUUUUGAAUCCUAAAACAAGCAACAAUCAGUAAAGCAUGUCAAAAGCUUUUGAAAAGUGUCAUACACAAGCAUUCAACCAUAUUAUUUGAUUUCCAAUGAGUAAUCUAUGCUUAGAUGUGAAGAACAUACGGUAUUGUAAAGCUUCCAAGUUUCAACCAUUUGAUCAUCAAGUAAUUAAGAACAUAUGCAUAGUUCUAGAUUGCAUGAUCAGCUUCAUUAAAGCAAAACAAAUCUGCCCAGCAAUCCAAAUAAUCAUUUUCACCUCUUUUUGAACCUUCAAAAGGCAUCAACUAGAAUGACACUAAGAAUAAUGCCAUUUCACUAAGAUCAAGUGACUGUUUUGUCAACGUACUAAAAGAAAAAUGCCCCAAACAGCCCCUAAACAGAUCACUUUCUAUGAGAAUCAAAGCCACAAGAAUGACGAUACAUCUGUAUCUUUCAGCAAAACAGCCCGUGAAAUGUCAUUUCUCUGAGGAUGCAUGUGGUGUCAGUCAUGGCAGAAGACAAGGCAGAUCCUCACUUAAACAGUAGUUUCCAAUUUAUAUCACAAGGAUACACGGACAGGUUUGCCAUUCUUGAAACACUAAAACGAGAGUUCAAAACAAGACUAGGGCAUUUUAAAACAAACUGCAGUUAGGCUUGAAAACAAAUUGGAUGGGGAUUUAAAAACAGGUUUCACAAAAGUUCAUCGAAAGGAACUAUUGCCGUGUUAGAAAGUAAAAUGAGGAAUCAAAACCAUUUUAACACCUUUAGUUGUUUUGGGAAGUCUUUUGGAGCGCGACAAAUUUAAAGUAUAAGACAGAGAAGCUAAAACAACAUUAAGACUUCAAAACAAAUUUGGAAGCGAUGUAUCCAAGUAAAAUAAAAGAAUCCGGAACCUCUAUGUCAAGUUUGACAAUAAUGUCCAUAAAACAAACACUCACGAACUAGGAGGUUUAACACGCCCUUUAUCAUCCAAAUAAAGAUUUUCCCAAAGAAAUAUCUCAUAUCACCAUGCAUAUAUAUAUGAAUCUCCACCAAUUCAACCUCAACGAAUUCUCAAAUUCAUUUCAAACUUGUUCACCUCUCCAAAGAGGUCACAUCAGCACAAAGUACCCAAUCCAUUUGUUCAUGCAUUCAGACACAUCAACAGAAAAUAUUCAAUCCAUUUGAGCACGCCUCAUUAGAUCAACACGGUAAGAGAAAUAUCAAGAGACCUCUGCGUUUCAUCUUCAUGGCAAUAAGACAAUUAAUUUAACAACAAAAGUAACAAUUCAGGCUUUUUAACUUUACCGAAGUGACCCGAACCGGAACUCCACUGGCAACUCAAAGGCUUCUCCUCCAGUUGCGUCCUUUUCGCCUCCCUUCCCUUUCUCGAUUUCGAACUUUCUGCUUUUCUUCUUAUUUUGUUUCCAGGAGUACUAUCUCAAUUCCUCGAACCACUUCUCCUCUGUUUCUCAGUGAACGUAUUUCUUUUCUUCUCCUUGUUCAACCUGCUCUAUUUUGUUCCCUUGUACAAUCCCAGGAAACACUGAGAAAAGAGCUUCCUCUUCUCCCAAAAGUCUCUUCCCGAACCCCUCUCCUCUCCCCACCUUAUCUUAUCUCGAAUCCAGAUUUGAGAGUCGCAGAAUUUCUGCCACUCCCUGAGCUCAGCUCUCGGGUCCCCUCAAUUUUUUCUCUCUCUCUCUCGAAGCCCCAAUCUCUUUUCUCUCUUCCGAUUUCCUCCCUCUUCCUCUUCUCUUCAGCGCUCCUUCCCGUCUUCUAAGUUCGGCUCCCGGGUCACCCCCAAACGAUGCCGUUUAGGGGAAAGGGGAGAGCUUGGGCCGUACGAUUCAUGCUUCC
rnacentral:lncRNA from 1 species